rnacentral:rRNA from 1 species
UGAGGAAUAUUGCACAAUGGGCGCAAGCCUGAUGCAGCAACGCCGCGUGAGGGACGAAGGCCUUCGGGUCGUAAACCUCUUUUCUGAGGGACGAGUAAGGACGGUACCCCAGGAAUAAGUCUCGGCUAACUACGUGCCAGCAGCCGCGGUAAAACGUAGGAGGCGAGCGUUAUCCGGAUUUACUGGGCGUAAAGCGUACGCAGGUGGCUUCGUUAGUCGGACAUGAAAGCUCCUGGCUUAACUGGGAGAGGUUGUUCGAUACUGCGGGGCUUGAGGUUGGGAGAGGGACGUGGAAUUCCCGGUGUAGUGGUGGAAUGCGUAGAUAUCAGGAGGAACACCAGUGGCGCAAGCGGCGUCCUGGCCCACACCUGACGCUGAGGUACGAAAGCGUGGGUAGCAAACAG